AUUGUAUUUUAAGGCCUUUUGGCUAAGAUGAAGUGUAGUAUCUGUUCUUGUCUGUUUAAUAUCUGUUAUGUCCCUUCUAGAUUGUAAGCUUAUUGUGGGCAAGGAACGUUUCUAACGAUUCUGUUGUACUCUCCUAAGUGCUUAUACUUUAUCUACCAACUCUGGUGUAUUGUGCCUCCAAGA